rnacentral:rRNA from 1 species
UACGGAGGGUGGCAGCGUUGUCCGGAAUCAUUGGGCGUAAAGGGCGCGUAGGUGGCUUCUUAAGCGUGCGGUGAAAGCCUGGGGCUCAACCCCCGGGGUCGGCCGUGCGAACUGGGGGGGCUGGAGCACUGUAGAGGCAGGCGGAAUUCCGCGUGUAGCAGUGAAAUGCGUAGAGAUGCGGAGGAACACCGAUGGCGAAGGCAGCCCCCUGGGCUGACACUGACGCUCAGGCACGAAAGCGUGGGGAGCAAACAGG